rnacentral:tRNA from 1 species
GGAGGGGUACCAAAGUGGUCGUAACGGGGCUGACUCGAAAUCAGUUGAGGACUUCACCGUCCUCCGUGGGUUCGAAUCCCACCCUCUCCG